GCAACAGGCUCUCCUCGGGGCCGCUGAUCGCAAUCUAUCACCACGUCUGCCUUUGGACCUCCUUCUUCUGCGAGCCAUGAAUGCCUCUAAUCCGGCGACGCAGGCUGGUCACCAUCAUACCAUCUACCACCUUCGUGGGAGCCAGACCCAGAGAGAGAACCAUGCUUUCUCCGACUGAGGCCAGACCAAGACUCUGCACAGGGGAAUAAUUCGGUGCCCCUUCACACAGGGGAAAAAAUGGAUUUCCGACCAGAUCAGCAUUUGGCUUCAAGUCACAGAGAGGUGUAAAACAAGACAGAGGUAUAUUCCUCUCUCACCAGCAGACUGUGCCUGACGUGGGAGCUCUGCUUUAUGAAGUCCUUAGGGACCCAGGCUCUUUCUAUCCUACUGCUCUGCCAGGCAUAGCCUCCCAUCCCUAGGUCACGUCAUGAUCCAAGCUGACUGCUGCAGUGACAUUCCGGCCAGCAGAGAGGAGAAAAGGAUCAAGAAGGAGCAGUAG
rnacentral:lncRNA from 12 species